rnacentral:rRNA from 1 species
GAUGAACGCUGGCGGCGUGCCUAAUACAUGCAAGUCGAGCGAACGGACGAGAAGCUUGCUUCUCUGAUGUUAGCGGCGGACGGGUGAGUAACACGUGGAUAACCUACCUAUAAGACUGGGAUAACUUCGGGAAACCGGAGCUAAUACCGGAUGAUAUUUUGAACCGCAUGGUUCAAAAGUGAAGGACGGUCUUGCUGUCACUUAUAGAUGGAUCCGCGCUGCAUUAGCUAGUUGGUAAGGUAACGGCUCACCAAGGCAACGAUGCAUAGCCGACCUGAGAGGGUGAUCGGCCACACUGGAACUGAGACACGGUCCAGACUCCUACGGGAGGCAGCAGUAGGGAAUCUUCCGCAAUGGGCGAAAGCCUGACGGAGCAACGCCGCGUGAGUGAUGAAGGUCUUCGGAUCGUAAAACUCUGUUAUUAGGGAAGAACAUAUGUGUAAGUAACUGUGCACAUCUUGACGGUACCUAAUCAGAAAGCCACGGCUAACUACGUG